rnacentral:rRNA from 1 species
CAGUAGCCGCGGUAAUACGUAGGUGGCAAGCGUUGUCCGGAAUUAUUGGGCGUAAAGCGCGCGCAGGUGGUUUAAUAAGUCUGAUGUGAAAGCCCACGGCUCAACCGUGGAGGGUCAUUGGAAACUGUUAAACUUGAGUGCAGGAGAGAAAAGUGGAAUUCCUAGUGUAGUGGUGAAAUGCGUAGAGAUGUGGAGGAACACCAGUGGCGAAGGCGACUCUCUGGUCUGUAACUGACACUGAGAGACGAAAGCCAGGGGGGCGAACGGGAUUAGAUACCCCUGUAGUCCCUGUCUCUUAUAC